rnacentral:lncRNA from 1 species
UUCAAAAUUUUGAUUUUACUACUCAACCUUUUAGUUUAUUUGAUUUGAGUGAGUCAAAAUCGGUACUUAGAUUUCAAAUUUUAAGCUAAUCACUUACGCUAAUGAGUUUAUAGUUGUGAGAAUUACUAUAUAAACUAUACGAACUAAAUUUUAAAAUUAAAAUACCUAUGAUUAACUCAAAUUAAAUCAAACAAAUUGAAUGAUAGGAUAGUAAAAUUAAAGAUUGAAAGAUUGGAUAGUCAAAUCAAAAUGAUUCAUAUUUUAGAAAAAUUCAAUACGGUUUUAUCCCAAAAUUAUAAAAAGCACAGUCAAGCUAAUUCAUCCCUCCCUCCCUCUCUCUCUCUCUCUCUCUCUCUCUCUCUCUCUCUAAAGAAGAGAAUAAGGCUUGUUACUGGGACUGCCAAAGUGCCAAUGAGUUGAACUGGCUUGUGAAUAACAAAUAAAGAUUGUCAGCCCUACUAGUAAGUAAAAAAUUAAAAAAUUAUAUACAUAUAUAUAUAUAUAUAUAGGGUCCGGCUACUAUAUUAUUAUGAGUACGAUGGCCAUCGUACUCAUAAGUCGUUUUCGAUGAUAGAGCUUCCGAAUCGACGAUCCACACCGUUAAACGUUAUUUACAGCAUUUAAAACUUCUAGAAAUCAAAUUUUAUAAUUUUUCGACAUCAUUUACCUUACGAUCAAGAGGUCACAAAUUUGACAAUUUUUAACGGCCGGUAUGGCUACUUGCUAGUUUAACGAUGUAAAAAAAUCGAAAUUUGUUGAAUUUUUGAUAGAAAUUUUACUCACUACAUAGAUAAAGAUUAAUAACUCUGAUCUUGAAUUGAAGGAUCCGAUCAUUCUUUUUUAGGACGUCGUUCGAUUUUGACUGUUCAUUUUAUGCCCACUUGAUGGACUUUAUUAUGAUUUCGAAAAUUUACGAAAUUUAUUUUCUAAAAGUUUCAAAUACUCUAGAUCAUAUUUAACGGAGUGGAUCGUCGAUUCAGAAGCUCCAUCAUUGAAAACAACUUAUGAGUACGAGGGCUCCAAUACUCAUAAUAGUAUAGUAGCCAUGGCCUAUAUAUAUAUAUAUAUAUAUAUAUAUGUCCGAACUAUAUUAAGUCGAAUACAAGCGAGCUGAUCUUAGCUCGUGCUCGGCUCGUUCAGAUUUCGAGCUAAAAAAAUUAAGCUCAUAUUCCACUCGCUUAUUAGUGAUCGAUUUCAAACUCAUUUCAAACCAAACACGAAUUAACUUGCAAACAGCGAAUUGAAUUGUCAGUCCUACUUGUUAGGAUCAAAAGAAAAAUCCACAUUGUUACUAUCAAAAGAAAAAUUCGCGAGCUGAAUUACCAGCCCUACUUGUUGCUAUCAAU